CAGUAGCCACGGUAAUACGGUGGGGGCUAGCGUUGUUCGGAAUUACUGGGCGUAAAGCGCACGUAGGCGGCUUGGUAAGUUAGAGGUGAAAGCCUGGAGCUCAACUCCAGAAUUGCCUUUAAGACUGCCGAGCUAGCAGGUGAGAGAGGUAAGUGGAAUUCCGAGUGUAGAGGUGAAAUUCGUAGAUAUUCGGAAGAACACCAGUGGCGAAGGCGGCUUACUGGCUCAUACUGGACGCUGAGGUGCGAAAGCGUGGGGAGCAAACAGGAUUAGAUACCCGUGUAGUCCCUGUCUCUUAUAA
rnacentral:rRNA from 1 species